AAUAAUUACAUUUGCGACAGGUUGGUAUGCAUUUUGUACAAUUCUCAUUGGCAACACUGCUGCCUUGUUCUGUUUGUCUAUGUUAUCCUCGAGUGUUUACUGUUUCCCUCCACUUCGUGUUGACAUAGUUUGGUUCGUGGUAUUUAUUGAAAAUAGUGAAUUUGUUACUGUGUUUGAUUUAUAUAUAGUUAAAUAAUAGAUAGAAACUAAUAUUGGUGCUUUACUGUUGGGUUUGCAAGCAAUCCCAAUGUUCUAACCAAAAAUUGACCUUACACAGAUUUCCAACUGAUGCCAAUGAAAGAGCAGUUUGGUUUGAGAAUUUGGGAUUGAAGCAAUGCCCCGAAAAUACUCUAAAGUAUGCAAGAAUUUGUUCCGUUCAUUUUGAGGGAGAAGCGUUUGAAGUGAAACCCAGUGGAAAAAUAUUCCUGAAAAAAGGUGCCCGUCCUUUGUCUUUUAAUCAAGAGUAUAUUCCUCCAACUUCAAGAAAGGAUGACUCAUCUACUCAUCAACAGAUACCGCUUCAGAAGUUGGAAGUUGACAAGUCUUUUGAUGGCCCUCCACUAAAGAGGUAAGAUCAAAUCCAGGUGGUGUAAUAUGAUUGAGGCUCAUUUUUAUAACUAUUUCUGCUCCUGGUAUUGUGCUAAUAAUCAAAUUAUGAUCUUUUAUGCUCACGGAAUUUUGUACUCUUAGUGCUAAAAAAAAAUUUCAAAGGAAAACUGAAUUGGUUCCAAUGUUUCCUGUGGAAUUUUGAAUCUAAUAGUGUUUUCCAUU